GGCUGGGAUGAUUUUUAGCUGAUUCUUGCCGUUGCUUGGCCGUCGCUUGCAUCACCACGUGUUGGCUGGCUGGCUGGUGGGCCGGCAGAGUCGAAACAAGGAAUACCGGAACAGAAGAAAAAGAGGGGGAGGGCAACCUAAAAGUUGCCCUUGAGCGUCCACACGGCUAACACGUUUUAGCUACUUCGGCACCGGGAAGUUCAAAGGUCAGGAACCCAACCUGAGAGGAAGCAAGCAAGACAGAAACACAGACAGAAGAACAGAGGGCAUAGAAAGUUUCUCUGCCCAUGAUUUCCAUCCUCGGCUGGGGGAGGAUCCAAAGUUUUUCAAGCCACGUCCUGACUACGCCAUGUUAAACACUAUCACGUCAAAGCUAAAAAGGGACCAGCAGAUGUGUUUUUCUGAAUGUCCAAGAAGAACCAGAAGCAGCAAUAAAGGUAUGUGAAUG